AUGACCACAACGACCUUGGUUUUGCUAAGACUAGUGCUGGCUCAUCUACAGGAUUCAGAUGUGUCCUUCACUCAGGGAGCAAGGAAACAGACAUGUUCUGCCCAAGGGCUACUGGCAACAUCCAAAAGGCAACAGUUGUUAACAGUUUCAUGGAUUUCCUUACAGUAGAGGAAGCUUCAAUAUAUAAUUUUUGAGGUUGGUGAUUCUCAACUAGGAGCUAUUUUGCCCCCCAUCCCCCACCCGGCAGUGUCUGGAGACAGUUUUGAUUGUCACAACUGCGAGAAGUGGGUGCUACUGGAAUCACUGGGUAGAGGCCAGCAAUGCUGCUAAACAUCCUACAUUGCACAGGACACCCCCACAGCAAAGAAUUAUCUAGCCCGAAAUGUUAACUGUGCUGAGGCUGAGAAACCCUGAUUUAAAAACUGUGCUCAUAUAAUAAAACCGUGUAUCCUCUUUUGA